GAUGUACGCUGGCGGCGUGCCUAACACAUGCAAGUCGAACGAGAUGCGUAUUGGAAAGCUUCGGCCGGAAGAUGCGUUAUCUAGUGGCGGACGGGUGAGUAACACGUGGGUAACCUGCCUUAUGGAGGGGGAUAACAGAGAGAAAUCACUGCUAAUACCGCAUAAGCACACAUUGCCGCAUGGCAGAGUGUGAAAAGAUUUAUCGCCAUAAGAUGGACCCGCGUCUGAUUAGCCAGUUGGCAGGGUAAAAGCCUACCAAAGCAACGAUCAGUAGCCGAUCUGAGAGGAUGACCGGCCACAUUGGGACUGAGACACGGCCCAAACUCCUACGGGAGGCAGCAGUGGGGAAUAUUGCACAAUGGGGGAAACCCUGAUGCAGCGACGCCGCGUGAGUGAAGAAGUAUUUCGGUAUGUAAAGCUCUAUCAGCAGGGAAGAUAAUGACAGUACCUGACUAAGAAGCCCCGGCUAACUACGUG
rnacentral:rRNA from 1 species